ensembl:lncRNA
UGAUGAUUCUAUGCCUUUUAUUGUUAUUUCAGAAAAUAUUUGAUUUGUUUAAAAAUGUACAUUUAAAAAACCCAUACAAAACUGUAAUUUGCUGUAAAACCAGACAGAAACAGUGGAAAAAGGAUUUUGAAAAAAGUUCACCAAAAGUAAAAAGAUGCCCCUCCCCCCAACCCUUUUACACGAAGGCAUAAAUACGGCAGGUACAAAUGUUCCUUGAGUUCCUUGUUGCAAUUUGGUCCAUAACAUGAAGAGGCUAAAGUAGAAAAACAAUGUGCCCACGUUUGCAUUAUGAGUUGCUCUGGGUACCAGCAGCCUCAGCUCAUCCUUCAGGCGUUUAUUAAACAGAGGAACUGAAAAGUGAGGUUUAUAGUCUCAUCAAACACUGGAAUCUGUACCCAGCAGAUGGUGGUACCACCACAGCCAGAUCCUAGCAAGUGGACAGGGCCUGCCACCCAUGGCCAAUUCUCAAAAGACAUCUCCCAUCUUCACAGGAGCAAGAAACCGUGGAAUGUUCUUAAGCAGAGUGGUGGUGAUGCCAGUGGCAUCAAAACAGAUGUUAGUCCCAGACACUGACUUAGGUCCCAUCCUGAGGAUGGUUUUUUCCUUUCAAAACAUAUUUUUUUAAUGUAAGGACUUCUAAUAGUACAUGUUCUACAAUAGUGCCACAGAAACCCUCCCAGGAUCAUGAGAAUGACAGCAACAAAGGAAAAGCGGUUGACACAUCUUCUGUAAGGAAUAAUGGCCCCUCCCAUGGGUCCCCUUUCCCCCUACUGCAGGGUGUUAUAAGGGACAGACAUGCCUGUGGAAAGACCACUGGCGGGUACAGUUAUUGCACAACCCGGAGGAAUGGGAACAGGCAGGCAAGGGGCAGGAAAGGGCUGCUGCUACACAAGUCUACCUAACUCGGGAGUCAGCAGGUUUGCAGCUGCAGUCCAGACCCACCGUCAAACAGGUUAUCUACAUGCAGCCCCUGGACUAGGGAGUACCAGUAAACAUCCUCCUCGUAGGAACUUUGGGCUGUUUAGGAAGUGAUAUGGGUGGGAGGAGGAUAUAGCAAGGCCACCUUUGUUUCUACCCUGGGAUGGAGGGACCAUGCAGGGCCAGAGGCACAGGGGGCCAGGUGUGCUGAAGCCUCUGAGCUUCAGUAAAAAGUACAAGGCACAGGGCCCUACUUUGAGCUACCUAACAGGCUUCUUGGCCACCUGGCCAGGUUGGGAUGGUGGGGCGGUUCCAAGGGAAAAACCAGAAACAAUGCAGGGAUCACACCAGAGGCUACUGCUCUGGGGGGAGGGGACAGAUGAGGUGACACUGUCAGUCACUAUGUCCCUUUCCUGCAUUACCUCUGCUGAGGUACGGUGUCUGUGGCUGCGUGCACCCAACAGCUCUAUGGCCCCCACAGCUGCCAGCUGGCCACACAGUACAGAUGAAGGCACACAGCAAUGUAAGGCACUUUUGAUACAAAAGGAAUGAUUUGUCAGGACCAGGACAGAAGCCCCGAGCAUGAAAUGAUGACAGCCUCUGGGUCCCACUGCCCCAUGGCUGUGAGGAUGGGUGACCUCUGUACAGUGUGGGGUGGAAGGUACAGGAGCUGGAACAUGGAAGUAAUCCUCAUGCAGGAAGCAGGGUGAAGGGUGAAAGGCUACAAAGGCUUCCUAGCAGGGCCAACCACUGGCUGGAGAGGGGUCCUAUUGGUACUUAAGUGAUCCAACAAUGACCUCAUUGUCCAGUAGCCCCAAAGGCCUCUCACAAGGAAAAGGGCUGUAUACUUGGGAGGCAGCUAGGGCAAAAGACCACCCAGCUCGUUUUCCACUCUCUAGCAAGAACAGGAGGCUAAGUUCUGAGGUCUGUCUACCUUGGGACAUGGAGGCUCCUAGGCAGAGAAGGGAAGUUAGCUAAGUCCAGACUCCCAGGCCUUCUCCCACCUCAGCAAAACCAACUGGGAAAGCUGAAGCACAGAAAAUAAACCCGAAGGCCUUCCCCAGCCACAGGGGGCCAACAAGCCUCUUUUAAGAAAAGCAUCUGUGAAACAGUAUAAUGAUGGAAUUUCCGUAGGUCACUGUCUCUCUGUUCCUACCUCUUAUUUACCACUUAGAAAAAGGUCAAGGUGGAUUGAGGAAGGAGGUCCCAAAAGAAAACCUAGAAGCACAUCCUUAGAGGUCCCUGGUGCCAAGGGCUCUCAAGAGUCCCAGGAUUCCAGCUGAGAAUAGCAUGAAGGUGGCCAGAGCACAGGUGUCUAAAUUGGUUUCCUAGGAGUUGCUUGGUUCUGCUUUGGGACAGGAAUAGGCAACCUUCUCAGCAACCUUUAUGUCUGGUGGCCCAGGAACACUCAGGGCUAGGACUGACACCAGGGGGAGAGACAGCUUCCCUCCUGGCUAUGCAUGCUCCCCUUUCCCCCAGAGCCACCCAACCUUUAAGAGGAACACAGAAUUAUUAAUAGUGCAGCUAUCAUAGCCCAGAUGCUAAAAAUAACUUUCCCAUCACUGAACUCCCAAGAGGGGAAUCAACACUAGGGAGUGCUCCUUCCACCAAAGGCCAAGCUCUCCCACCACUGCCAUCUGCUGGUGUCCCCACAGGUGGGCCAGGGAGGGAUGUUGAGAGGCACCUUGGCUGCUGAGGUAGAUAGGCAUCUUCUCCCCUUGGUAGAUGGUGCUGCGCUGGCCUCUCAAACCGGGAGGGGUCCGACAGGGCUUUCACAAGAAUGAAGAAAGUAGCCAACAUGCUCAAAUUGGUACAAGCUAGUCCAACAAACUCACAGGAUAAAGUGGAAUUGAGUGACUUAAAGCCUGGCUGGUGCCAACUUGAUAAUGACUUGGCUUUGCUAUGACAUUACUGUGCCAGGGAGGAAGUAGCCUAUAAUUACCCUCUAAGCGCCCCAAACAUCUCUGAGGCCCAAGCUGGUGAGCAGUCACUCUUAUUCAUGAUCUCAUGGCUUUUUCUUUUAACACAGGAAAGAUUUUACCAUCUCCUGUCACUGAGCAAAUACUUGUCCUUUAGGGAACAGUCCCUAAGGCAACCCUGGCCCCUGGGUUUGUGGUACCACACCCAAGGCACAAUAAACUGGUAGCACCAG